GUCGGUGGGGUGACUUUUUUGAUGGCAUUGCCCAAUGCAGUUUUUGGAUUUCUACUGAGUGGUACUGUGUUUUGAGAUUUGUUUUUUUGUGUUGCUAUCUGCAGGAAAGUUCCUAGGGAUUUGAUUGAUGGAGGCAUCACUAUUUGGAGCUGGAUUAUCCAUUUUUGCAGCAUCAGCAAUGUUGUUUUCGUUUGGAAUGGCCAUUUCUCAAUUUCUAAAUCGGCUAUACUAUACUUCUUGUCAGGUUACAUUAUCUUGCUUGGUUUCAGUCUAUAUGUAGCACAGCAAUAGGUGACAUGGUUGGUUUGUAUGUUACACUAAGGAACACCACCAUAAGGAAAAGGGCAUUGCACUUUGUUUAUAUUUGGUCUGUUCCUAUUCAGUUUGCUGUAGUACUUGCUACACCAUUUGAAGUUUCUUACUGUUUGCUUCUUGCUGUUUCAUUGUAUUCAGUUAUGAUAUAUUUUUCAACUAUACAAGCACUUGGGUAAGUCAGGAAAACUGAACCAACGACAAACAUUUUACUGGUGAUGUUUUUUAUCUGAGAUGUGAAAGAUGCAUCUUGUCCCCUGAUAUAUUGGCUUAAUCUCUUGAUUUUUUCCCUGACAUGCUAAUAUAGAGCCAGAUAUGCAUGAUUCAUCAUACACAUUACAGCCAAUUAUCCAUUGGUUCUUUUAUCCAUAGAGGUGAUUUUGUUUGGACCAUUAGUCUAGGUAGUGACAUUUUGAUCGAUAAGGCACAAGUUUAUUUUCUUUUUCACUCGGGCUACACUAAAGUAAGCAUCACCGUUAGUGAAAAGAAGGCAUACAAAUCAUGAAGUCUUUGCCUUGGCUAUGUGCCUCGUUUAGUUGUCACUUAUUUAUUUCUGGGAAGUUAUUAAAUUCUCAUCGAGCUUUCCUUAUGCUUUACAUUGCUAAAGAAGAAAUUUAAAUACGCAAUAUUUUUGAUAUCCGAGGAGGUGAGAGGAGAUGAAAAAGGGUUGUAAUGUGUAAGGUUGUACUUUGGCGCGUCUCUGGCCAAUGAUGGCUGGAUCCAUCUGACGCUCUUCCAAGCAGAGCAGUGCAGAUUUGCUGACUAGUACAACAUCUAAACCUUGGCUACUCUAGCUUCUUUUUACAUCUCUUAGUAUCAACAAAUAAGUUGGUUACAGUAUAUACUUGAAGAUUGCAUCAGGCACAAAAUGCUUGGCUAAUCAACCGGUUAAUUGAGUUGUGCCUACGAAGGAUCAGUAGAAUAGUUGGUUUCUUCUAAAAUAAAUGAGGAUUAGUUUGGUUGCCAUGUAACGGUAAGGCCAGAAUGGUGGUACUGAAAAGUGGUUCUGUAAUGGUCAUAUGAGUUGUGGAGUUGGAACUUGAUUCUUUUUAAGUUGGAGUGGCUAGGUUGUCUAUAUGUAUUGCAUUAUUUUUCUACGGCGUGCUGUUCUUUCUAAUGAUUUUUUUAAAAGUUUAGUAUUUAAGUUUACGGCAUUAUUCUGCGGCAUACUGUUCUUUCUACAACAUACUGUUAAUAUCUUAUUCUUUUCAACAUUACACGGUUAAAACCUUCUGUAUAAGAUCUUGCGCUUUCAACAUCUGCUCAUGGCGCUGUGCGUAUUCUGCCAUGAACUGUUUACAUUAGAGAGUUGUGGUACCUUCAUUUGUAUGAUUCCUUUUAGCUGAUGUUGGUUGCUCAUACUGACAAAAUGUGUGUUAACAAAUGAUUGCAGAGCAGCAGAGAAACGUGUUUCUACGAAUGUGCCAAAACUGAUGGAUUUAACUACAGGUAUUGCACUAUUAUUCUACAGGUAUCGUUGUAUUGCAUUAUCCAACUGUAAGUCUGUUCUAAACUCUAAGCCCGAUGUAAAUGUGAUGGAAGAUUGGGCCAUUUAAUUUGAACCAAAAAGGGUGAUAUGCUCUCAGUUGUUUGAAUCUGUCCAGACCUGAAAAUUAGAUAUACUUUGAAAGCUUGAUGUAUGAGUAGGAGAUAGUUGAUAAAGGUGUACUCUUGUAGGAGAUUAUUAGUUGAUUACCUGCUUCUAUGUGGUGAACAAAUGAGUAAGCAGUUUAGUUGAUAAAGGUGUAGGCAACACAGCAUUUUUGUUCCAUUUUUUGGUUUGUAAGUCAAGGAUGUUUAGCCUUUGUUGAAUAUGUUAAUUGUGAAACAGUUUUGAUGCAAUUUUUGAACCGUUCAGUCUGUUUUGUUUGUGCAGUUCAUGGUACCAUAUCUGCAGGCUACAUCUUGUGUAGAUUUGGCUACCACAUUAUAUGAUGUUGUUUCACUUUGCUCAGUCAAGGUUUCAGUAAAAAAAUGAAUUGAACAUAUUUUUGUAGACAUACAAAAACGGUCUGCAUUUUUUACAUCACCCUGACAUCCAAUUCAAACUAUAUUUUCUGCCUAGACUGUUGCAUACCUAUGAGAUCAUGGGAUAACUCAGACAUGAGCCGGUGUCCAGUGUGCAGUGAGGGUGAGUAAUGUGGCAUCAGCCUAUUGUGGACCUGUGUAUUAUACUCCUUCCGAUCAAAAUUAAGUGUCGUUGUUUUAGUUCAAAAACCACGACACUUAUUUUGGAUCGGAGGGAGAGCAUUUAAGAGAUUCCUUGCAUACACAUGAUUCAGAAAAGUACAGUGUGGGAUGCCAUUAUAAACUCAUGAAGUCUGAUCCUGGUAGUGACAUGAUUUACUCUGUUUGAUCAAAUAGGUCGAAGCCAAAGCUGUUCUUAUUGAAUCUCAUGAUGCCCCUGAUGCUUGCUGCUGUAAGCAAGAAAAUUGAGUACAAGUUUCAAUGUCAACCUGAGUUUUCAUUGUGGAUGUUUGAGAGUCAACCUGAAUUUUGAAAAGAACUUUUAGGAUGAUUAGCUAUAGUACUGUGACAAAUAAUCAGGAAAGAUAAUUUUGUAGGGUGAUCAUUGUCUUUCAUAAUAAUAUUAUAGCCGUCGGCCAAACAAUGAAGGUUGCACUACAACUACUCGACUACAAGUUUUAUGUGGAGUUUCUCUGUACAGCUUGCACGAACUCAGUGAGAUCAGGAAUCAUAAUUGCUCACAUUUUUUUCUCCUGAAACGGAUGUGUCAUCCCUGCAUUUUUUUUCUCGGAAUCAAGGAUGUUUCAAACAUUGUGUGUGAGCUCACCUUCAAAAUGUGGCAACAGACCAUGCCCAUAUAUGAUCAAACAAACCAAAC
rnacentral:lncRNA from 1 species